rnacentral:lncRNA from 1 species
CUCCAGGGCUUUGAUGAACUCACACAGAAAGUCCUGGUGUCAUAGAAGACCUGAGGUUUGAAAGAAUCCAUUUUGGAAGUCAGACAGGUAACCCAUCUUUGCACCUCACCCUGAGAAACCCAGCUGUUCAAGAAGCCAGUUGUACUAGGCCAAUAGCCAAAGGACAUAGUGAGUGGAAGUCAUGACAUAUCCAUUUGAGACUCAGAUGUGAUCACAAGACAAUUUCCACUUGAUGGAACUACUUUUCUACAAGAAAAUUAAAAGGUAAGUAGUGAGAUUAUACAUCAUAUAGAGCAAGUGUAACAUGAGGCAAACCAUUGUAGAAUCCAUAAGAAAAUAGUUACAUGGGUAGCAAUUUUUGUAAAUUGUAUUCCAUGUUCAUAAAAGCAGAGGUUUUCUA